UACGUAGGGACCAAGCGUUGUCCGGAAUCAUUGGGCGUAAAGCGCGCGUAGGUGGCUCUGUAAGUCCGUUGUAAAAGUCAAAGGCUCAACCUUUGAAAGCCGAUGGAUACUGCAGAGCUAGAGUCCGGAAGAGGCGAGUGGAAUUCCUGGUGUAGCGGUGGAAUGCGUAGAGAUCCGGAAGAACACCCAUGGCGAAGGCAGCAGACUGGGCGUUUCCUGACGCUGAGGCGCGAAAGCGUGGGUAGCAAACAGG
rnacentral:rRNA from 1 species